rnacentral:rRNA from 1 species
CGCAGCAGGCGCGAAAACUUCACAAUGGGGGCAACCCCGAUGAGGGAAUUCCAAGUGCUAGCACUUUUUGUGUUAGCUGUUCUCCUGUCUAAAAAACAGGAGAAGUAAGGGCCGGGUAAGACGGGUGCCAGCCGCCGCGGUAAUACCCGCGGCCCGAGUGGUGGUCGAUAUUAUUGAGCCUAAAACGUUCGUAGCCGGUCUUGUAAAUCCUUGGGUAAAUCGGCCAGCUUAACUGUCCGAAGUCCGGGGAGACUGCAAGACUUGGGAUCGGGAGAGGUCAGAGGUACUUCUGGGGUAGGGGUAAAAUCCUGUAAUCCUAGAAGGACCACCGGUGGCGAAGGCGUCUGACUAGAACGAAUUCGACGGUGAGGAACGAAGCCCUGGGGCGCAAACGGGAUUAGAUACCCCGGUAGUCCAGGGUGUAAACGCUGCGGGCUUGGUGUUGGGGGUCCUUAGUGGGCGCCCAGUGCCGGAGAGAAGUUGUUAAGCCUGCUGCUUGGGGAGUACGUCCGCAAGGAUGAAACUUAAAGGAAUUGGCGGGGGAGCAC